rnacentral:rRNA from 1 species
CCUACGGGAGGCAGCAGUGGGGAAUAUUGGGCAAUGGGCGCAAGCCUGCCCCGGCAACGCCGCGGGAGGGAGGAAGGCUUUCGGGUGGUAAACUUCUUUUGUCAGGGACGAAGCAGGUGCCGGUACCUGACGAAUAAGCCCGGGCUAACUACGUGCCAGCAGCCGCGGUACGACGUAGGUGGCAAGCGUUAUCCGGAUUUACGGGGUGUAAAGGGGGGGUGGGCGGGACUGCAAGUCAGAUGUGAAACCCAUGGGCUCAACCCAUGGCCUGCAUUUGAAACUGUAGUUCUUGAGUGAUGGAGAGGCAGGCGGAAUUCCGGGUGUAGCGGUGAAAUGCGUAGAUAUACGGAGGAACACCAGUGGCGAAGGCGGCCUGCUGGACAUUAACUGACGCUGAGGCGCGAAAGCGUGGGGAGCAAACAGGAUUAGAUACCCUUGUAGUC